GGUCUUAGCUUGCUAAGGCUGAUGGCGACCGGCGCACGGGUGAGUAACACGUAUCCAACCUGCCGUCUACUCUUGGCCAGCCUUCUGAAAGGAAGAUUAAUCCAGGAUGGCAUCAUGAGUUCACAUGUCCGCAUGAUUAAAGGUAUUUUCCGGUAGACGAUGGGGAUGCGUUCCAUUAGAUAGUAGGCGGGGUAACGGCCCACCUAGUCAACGAUGGAUAGGGGUUCUGAGAGGAAGGUCCCCCACAUUGGAACUGAGACACGGUCCAAACUCCUACGGGAGGCAGCAGUGAGGAAUAUUGGUCAAUGGGCGAUGGCCUGAACCAGCCAAGUAGCGUGAAGGAUGACUGCCCCAUGGGUUGUAAACUUCUUUUAUAAAGGAAUAAAGUCGGGUAUGCAUACCCGUUUGCAUGUACUUUAUGAAUAAGGAUCGGCUAACUCCGUGCCAGCAGCCGCGGUAAUACGGAGGAUCCGAGCGUUAUCCGGAUUUAUUGGGUUUAAAGGGAGCGUAGAUGGAUGUUUAAGUCAGUUGUGAAAGUUUGCGGCUCAACCGUAAAAUUGCAGUUGAUACUGGAUGUCUUGAGUGCAGUUGAGGCAGGCGGAAUUCGUGGUGUAGCGGUGAAAUGCUUAGAUAUCACGAAGAACUCCGAUUG
rnacentral:rRNA from 1 species